GUGUAUAACCUAUACUUAUAAACUCAAGUGACUUAUUAGAAAAUGUAACCUAUACAUACAUUGUUAGAGGAUGGAAUGAACAGCAAAGCAACAACAGUGAACCAUUCACAACUGCUGAUACAACUAGCACUAUUGAUCCUUGUAAAAAUAAUAUUUGCUGUGCUGAUGUUACACUAAAUACAGUACUGGUAUCAUCAGACACAUGCU